rnacentral:rRNA from 1 species
UACGGGGGGGGUAAGCGUUGUUCGGAAUUACUGGGCGUAAAGGGCUCGUAGGCGGCCAACUAAGUCAUACGUGAAAUCCCUCAGCUCAACUGGGGAACUGCGUGUGAUACUGGAUGGCUUGGAUUUGGGAGAGGGAUGCGGAAUUCCAGGUGUAGCGGUGAAAUGCGUAGAUAUCUGGAGGAACACCGGUGGCGAAGGCGGCAUCCUGGACCAAUAUUGACGCUGAGGUGCGAAAGCGUGGGGAGCAAACAGG